GACGAACGCUGGCGGCGUGCCUAAUACAUGCAAGUAGAACGCACAGUUUAUACCGUAGCUUGCUACACCAUAAACUGUGAGUUGCGAACGGGUGAGUAACGCGUAGGUAACCUGCCUGGUAGCGGGGGAUAACUAUUGGAAACGAUAGCUAAUACCGCAUAAUAUUGAUUAUUGCAUGAUAAUUGAUUGAAAGAUGCUAUUGCAUCACUACCAGAUGGACCUGCGUUGUAUUAGCUAGUAGGUGAGGUAACGGCUCACCUAGGCGACGAUACAUAGCCGACCUGAGAGGGUGAUCGGCCACACUGGGACUGCGACACGGCCCAGACUCCUACGGGAGGCAGCAGUAGGGAAUCUUCGGCAAUGGACGAAAGUCUGACCGAGCAACGCCGCGUGAGUGAAGAAGGUUUUCGGAUCGUAAAGCUCUGUUGUAAGAGAAGAACGGGUGUGAGAGUGGAAAGUUCACACUGUGACGGUAUCUUACCAGAAAGGGACGGCUAACUACGUG
rnacentral:rRNA from 1 species